rnacentral:rRNA from 1 species
CGCUAGCUACAGGCUUAACACAUGCAAGUCGAGGGGCAGCAUUUCAGUUUGCUUGCAAACUGGAGAUGGCGACCGGCGCACGGGUGAGUAACACGUAUCCAACCUGCCGAUAACUCGGGGAUAGCCUUUCGAAAGAAAGAUUAAUACCCGAUGGCAUAAUUAGACCGCAUGGUCUUAUUAUUAAAGAAUUUCGGUUAUCGAUGGGGAUGCGUUCCAUUAGGCAGUUGGUGAGGUAACGGCUCACCAAACCUUCGAUGGAUAGGGGUUCUGAGAGGAAGGUCCCCCACAUUGGAACUGAGACACGGUCCAAACUCCUACGGGAGGCAGCAGUGAGGAAUAUUGGUCAAUGGGCGCAGGCCUGAACCAGCCAAGUAGCGUGAAGGAUGACUGCCCUAUGGGUUGUAAACUUCUUUUAUAUGGGAAUAAAGUUUUCCACGUGUGGAAUUUUGUAUGUACCAUAUGAAUAAGGAUCGGCUAACUCCGUGCCAGCAGCCGCGGUAAUACGGAGGAUCCGAGCGUUAUCCGGAUUUAUUGGGUUUAAAGGGAGCGUAGGUGGACAGUUAAGUCAGUUGUGAAAGUUUGCGGCUCAACCGUAAAAUUGCAGUUGAUACUGGCUGUCUUGAGUACAGUAGAGGUGGGCGGAAUUCGUGGUGUAGCGGUGAAAUGCUUAGAUAUCACGAAGAACUCCGAUUGCGAAGGCAGCUCACUGGACUGCAACUGACACUGAUGCUCGAAAGUGUGGGUAUCAAACAGGAUUAGAAACCCUGGUAGUCCACACAGUAAACGAUGAAUACUCGCUGUUUGCGAUAUACAGUAAGCGGCCAAGCGAAAGCAUUAAGUAUUCCACCUGGGGAGUACGCCGGCAACGGUGAAACUCAAAGGAAUUGACGGGGGCCCGCACAAGCGGAGGAACAUGUGGUUUAAUUCGAUGAUACGCGAGGAACCUUACCCGGGCUUAAAUUGCAUUUGAAUAAUCUGGAAACAGGUUAGCCGCAAGGCAAAUGUGAAGGUGCUGCAUGGUUGUCGUCAGCUCGUGCCGUGAGGUGUCGGCUUAAGUGCCAUAACGAGCGCAACCCUUAUCUUUAGUUACUAACAGGUCAUGCUGAGGACUCUAGAGAGGCUGCCGUCGUAAGAUGUGAGGAAGGUGGGGAUGACGUCAAAUCAGCACGGCCCUUACGUCCGGGGCUACACACGUGUUACAAUGGGGGGUACAGAAGGCAGCUACCUGGUGACAGGAUGCUAAUCCCAAAAGCCUCUCUCAGUUCGGAUCGAAGUCUGCAACCCGACUUCGUGAAGCUGGAUUCGCUAGUAAUCGCGCAUCAGCCAUGGCGCGGUGAAUACGUUCCCGGGCCUUGUACACACCGCCCGUCAAGCCAUGAAAGCCGGGGGUACCUGAAGUACGUAACCGCAAGGAGCGUCCUAGGGUAAAACUGGUAAUUGGGGC